rnacentral:rRNA from 1 species
UGGGGAAUUUUGGACAAUGGGCGCAAGCCUGAUCCAGCAAUGCCGCGUGCAGGCUGAAGGCCUUCGGGUUGUAAACUGCUUUUGUACGGAGCGAAAAGGUCUGCCCUAAUACGGUGGGCUCAUGACGGUACCGUAAGAAUAAGCACCGGCUAACUACGUGCCAGCAGCCGCGGUAAUACGUAGGGUGCGAGCGUUAAUCGGAAUUACUGGGCGUAAAGCGAGCGCAGGCGGUUAUAUAAGACAGAGGGGAAAUCCCCGGGCUCAAACUGGGAACUGCAUUUGUGACUGUAUAGCUAGUAUACGGCAGAGGGGGAUGGAAUUCCGCGUGUAGCAGUGAAAUGCGUAGAUAUGCGGAGGAACACCGAUGGCGGAGGCAAUCCCCUGGGCCUGUACUGACGCUCAUGCACGAAAGCGUGGGGAGCAAACA